rnacentral:rRNA from 1 species
UACGUAGGGACCAAGCGUUGUUCGGAUUUACUGGGCGUAAAGGGCGCGUAGGCGGCCUUCUAAGUCAGACGUGGAAUCCCCCGGCUUAACCUGGGAACUGCGUCUGAUACUGGGAGGCUAGAGUGCGGGAGAGGAGAGUGGAAUUCCUGGUGUAGCGGUGAAAUGCGCAGAUAUCAGGAAGAACACCCGUGGCGAAGGCGGCUCUCUGGAACGCAACUGACGCUGAGACGCGAAAGCGUGGGGAGCAAACAGG